AUACGGAGGAUCCGAGCGUUAUCCGGAUUUAUUGGGUUUAAAGGGAGCGUAGGUGGAUUGUUAAGUCAGUUGUGAAAGUUUGCGGCUCAACCGUAAAAUUGCAGUUGAAACUGGCAGCCUUGAGUACAGUAGAGGUGGGCGGAAUUCGUGGUGUAGCGGUGAAAUGCUUAGAUAUCACGAAGAACUCCGAUUGCGAAGGCAGCUCACUAGACUGUUACUGACACUGAUGCUCGAAAGUGUGGGUAUCAAACAGGAUUAGAUACCCUGGUAGUCCACACAGUAAACGAUGAAUACUCGCUGUUUGCGAUAUACAGUAAGCGGCCAAGCGAAAGCAUUAAGUAUUCCACCUGGGGAGUACGCCGGCAACGGUGAAACUCAAAGGAAUUGACGGGG
rnacentral:rRNA from 1 species